rnacentral:lncRNA from 1 species
CUCAUUCAUUCAUACACAAUUGUCCACUACGUCACUGUUGAGUACGAAAACCUAUGCUAAUCAAUUUGCAAACAGAAUUGUGUAAGACAACACCCCUGCUCCUUUAGUGACAAAGAGAAGAAUGGAUGACCAAGUUAGGCUGGGAAAAUAAAUUAGGGUAAUUCUUCCAUUUGAAAGGCUGAGGAGGGUGCAGAAUCAUUAGAGUCCAUUAGGGGGAGUGCUAAGUCUCCAGAAAAGAAACACACACUGGGCUAGUUCUGGAAUAUGCCCCCAAUUCCUUGGGGAGUUAACCUAUCUAUCCCUCACAGAUAGCGAAGAUACUCCAGUACCCUUGGCAGCUUGUACUUCCAACACCUUCUCCAGCACUGCACACACUUCACUUCCUCCUCCUUUCACCAGCCCUUACUUUUCCUUUCCCACCAGGCUGGUGGUCUCAAAGUGUGGUCCCAGGCGUCAGCACCUUCAUCACCUAGGAAACUUCUAGAAAUGCAAAUCCUCAGACCCUACUCCAGACCAAGUGAAUCAGAAACUCUCGGAGUAUUUUAACAACUCCCCCCCCCCCCCAGUAAUUUUAAUGUAUGCUAAAGUUUGAGAACCACUAGUCUAGAAAACCACGUGGAUGUGGACCAGGCAGACUGGUGGGAGUGGAAGCAAACGGAAGGAGUAAUGGAUCCUACAUGCCAAUCUAGUUAGCCCCACAGAGUGUUAGAGGCAGCAGAGGAACAGCUACAAAGGGAGGAGACAGAGUCAUUGCCCAGGCUCUUGCCAACUCAGAUUGGCACGGGUAUUGUGGACACUAACCCCCAAAUUCACCCUAGGUCAAACUGGUUCUGGUACCAAGAUCUUCAGACUGGAAACAUGGACUUAGCCUUCAUUUCCUAGAGAGGGAGCCCUACGGUGUCCACGGCAGCUGCUGCCAAAAAGUGCUACCUCAGGGCCAGGGGCGCAGUUUGUCAGUCUCUUCUGAAGAAACCACUCUUUUUAGGAGGAAAGUAAUAAGCUUAUUCGGGCAUCUCCCCGUCCUCGGUUCCUCCUCCCCACGCGUGGGCACACAAAGAGCGGAAGUGGGGGUGGGGGUGGGGGAACAGGCUCCUUAUCUCUGAAGUCCCGGGUCACCUCAGCCCGGGGUCCGGCUAACUGACCUGCAGACUAGUAGAUGGGCCCUGGGCGGGGAACAGAGCCCUCCCCCACCUCCCCGGGCUGGGUGACUGUCAGGCCGCAUCUGCUCCAAAUUUAUAGCUCCUCCUCGGGCCGCCGCCGGCCUCUCCACGGCCUCUUUA